rnacentral:lncRNA from 13 species
CAGUCACUAUCUAAUGUUGAUAGUUUAGACAGUCACUAUCUAAUGCUGAUAGUUUAAGGAACAGUCACUACCUAAUGUUCAUAGUUUAGAUACAGUCACUAUCUAAUGUUGAUAGUUUAGGGAACAGUCACUAUCUAAUGUUGAUAGUUUAGGGAACAGUCAUUUUCUAAUGUUGAUAGUUUAGGGAACAGUCAUUUUCUAAUGUUGAUAGUUUAGGGAACAGUCACUAUCUAAUGUUGAUAGUUUAGGGAACAGUCAUUUUCUAAUGUUGAUAGUUUAGGGAACAGUCAUUUUUGUCAAUGUCGCAAAUACAUGAGAACAGUUUUCAUAUUCAUUAUUUGUUUUACAUUGGUUCAUGUUCAUUGGUUCUUGUUCAUUUAUUCAUGAUCAUUUGUUCAUGGUCAUUGGCUCAUGGUUAAUGGUUAAUGGUCAAAUGAGUCGCUUAUCUGACAUUUUGACAGUCAGGUGAUUUCACUGUCUCAAUUCCACUUCUAAUUUCUGCUUCCAAGUCUUGUGAAGAUUUGCCUCCACCUAGUGGCGGAUAAUGACCAUUGUAUUUUACAUUUUCUGUUUACAUUAUUCUCUAUUUCUCUUUCUCUAUCUCUCUCUCUCUCUCUUUAUCUCUCUCUCUCUCAGGCGUUUAGAGUGGAUGACAAGAAGAAGUUCACCUCUUUCAAGUCCUGUCUGAAGAAGGAGAUCUCGUCAGGCAGAUAGCCUUGAUGACAAUGUAACCUCCUGUUCCGAGGAUGUGAGGACGACCGUCCGAUGUCAGAAUGGUUCAGAUAAUGACUACAGAAUGAAGCCAACAUCAGCGUGAGCUUUGGUUGCGAAUGGUCUGAACUUUGAACUCUUAUUCACUACAGAAGUGAUACCUCCUAGCUGCUGAGUUAGCAAAUGCAGAUGCAAACGAGGUUAGGAAGGAACAGACAGAGUAUCCCGUCUAUCACACAACGACGUUACUACAACUAUCCAAUUGACCACCAGAGACAUUCUUCAAAGGACAAAGGACUCGGUUUGGCAACACGGCCUUCCAUCUACCACCAACCUACCGAAGCGCAGCUCAGAAUCACCAGCUGAAUGUCCUGCACUCUCAGUCUGCACCCCCCUCUACCUGGAUAGACUUCCCCUGAUCCAUGAAGAUCAUUCAAAACAACAGUGCAGUUCAUUUUACUAUCAAUGUGAAGAUGAGAGAAGGAUAGACUAAUGUGUCAGUCUCUGCAUAGUCGUCUAAAAAGUGGAAAUGAAAUGAAAUAGGAUUCUCCCCACCUAGGCCUAGUUGGAUGCUACUCGAGUUGUUUUCAAGUUGAGAUUGAUGUGAGAAGGAGGAUUUCUCUGACAAAGGAUUUCUCUGAUGACCCUAAGAGUAAGCCAUUUUAAAUACCUGAAGUCUUAAGCUUGUUGUUCAGCUUUCAGUCUGAAAUCAACAAUAUGUAGUACUGUGAUGUUAAGUUGCAUUGAUGGUAUUUUAUUUUUCUACCAGAUUGUUAAAAAAAAUGAAAUCAGGGGAAUGCUAUGGAUCAGGACUGGUGUAACACCUUCCUGGUCUUCUACAAGUCACACGAGCUGAUCGGGUCACUGGAAACUCCAACCUAUUGUUGCAACAGAUUUAUUCACCCAGGGUGAAUAUAUUAUUGGUUCAUCAUUCACCAUUUUACCGUAUUAAUUUGUUAUUAAUUAGUUUGUUUAUCACUGUAAGUCUUUGAAAAGGAAAAACCCAUUUGGUUGUUUUGUUGCUGGCAGGCUGUAGCUCUGACAGUGUGUGUAGUAUUGUUCAGUGUGGUUCCCUCCCAGUCCUAAACCUGCUAAUCUGCCUCUAUGCAUUGCUGACAUACUUUCUCCAAGCCUGUCUGCAGCCCACUGCACAGAUCAGCUUACGCAGGGGAGUACAGCCUCCCUCUUGUGUUCUGUUCACACGGCUGCCUUCUGCAGCUCAUUCUCAAAUAACUCAGUGCCAGCUAGCUAACACCUUUCAGAUUGGGCUUUUAUCUCUGGGGUUCAUUGUGUAAAUAGAGGCAGCUAACUCCGUUAAUAAUUAUUAUAAUCAAGAGUUUACUCUGAUGUAAUGGAGAAAUUCAGUGUGUAUAUUAACUAUACACACUAUUCACACUAGGCUUAUUCAGACUACUGACAGGGAUUCUAUACAAUGAGGACUUUAUGAAUUUGUGGUAAUUGUUUUUACUAAAGGCAAAAUACAAUGUUUAAAUAACAUGAGAUUACUGUUCAGAGGCGUACCUAUGUUUAUUUCCCAAUGGGUUACCCAGGAAAAUCUUAUUCUACUGUGUACCAUCGUGACAUAUAUAUUUUAAAAUGUCAAAUAUAGUGUAUAUGCAUUUCAGUGAUGUUUUCUAGAGACUGUAGUUCUGGUCUGAUGUGGUGGAUUUCCUGCUUGAAUAGAGACUUGGGUCUCUAUUAAAUCUGUAUCACAGAAAUUCAGCAUUACAGCGUGGUUGGACUUUAAGGCAAUGUUCCUGUAUUAGCAGAGACUGCAUUCAUUGUAAACGCUGCAGAUGUCGGCUCAAUAGGAAAUGGCCUUUACGUGUUUAGCAUGCUAUCUGCAAUGCUCCAGCGAAACAGAUUGAACAUAGCCCUUGGUUUGCUAGUUCCAAUGUCUAACAAUAUUAUCUUGUAUGUUACAUAUUAAAUCAAAUAAAUGGAUUUGUCUAAUUCGCCUACUUCUUUGCAUGGUAUAACAUAAUACAUUAGUAAUGUGAAUAUCCUACAUUUCCUCUUAGUUUACCUAUUUUGAAUGAUGUUUGGAAGUCAUGUGAAUGACAGCUCUCUCUACAGAACUUUGUUUAGAUGAUCAAAUGGAUUACACAGGCUGUUACAUUGACUUGGUAAAUAAAGAUGUUAAGAACAAUCAAUAGCUUUGUGUCAUUUUUGUUCUGGAUUUCACGCACGCACGCACACACACGAACAACCCCUGACCUCAAAGGAAAUAUUUGGUUGGUGUUUUCACACAAGUUAGCUAAUUACCAGCUGUGUGUCACACAUUCCUCAGACAUUUGAAACAGAGUGGCUAUAUAUUAUUACCAGCAUAUGCACGGCAUAUGCAUGGACAGCCCUGUUUUACUUAUUGACAUAAAAAUACAAUCAAAUAGGCCUAUUCUACAAAAAGGCACAUUUAAUGAAGCAUAAGGUCUGAUAAUUGUUUUCUCCAUCAUAUAAUGUAGGCCUACUUUCACCAACGUUAGAUCUAUGGCAAGACAACAUUAAAAACAACUUAAAUGGUGAUUAACAUUCUCUUCUCUGCAUCAAUGGUCAGAGGGUCAAUUGGAUCAUUCCAAAGAAUAAAAAUGUAUUUGCAGCAUCCUACGAACGUCAUGGCAACUUGGUGAAAAGGGGUGGUGCUGACUAUUUUGCAGCGCAGAGAGGAACGAGAGACGUCGCGCUGCCGCGCUCUGCGAAACGAGGUGGAGGCAGCAGAACAGAAGUGCUACGUCCUGGCUGUCGAUCAUACGCGAUUUACAGGCAGUAAUGAAGUGACAGGCACAGACAGAAGGAACAGACAGACAAAAACUUAAUGUCAAAC